GUGACGGUGCGACGCCGCGUGCAGGAUGAAGGCCUUCGGGUCGUAAACUGCUGUCAUGAGGGAGCAACGAAUCUGCCGUUAACACCGGCAGGAAGUGAUAGUACCUCAAGAGGAAGCCACGGCUAACUCUGUGCCAGCAGCCGCGGUAAUACAGAGGCGGCGAGCGUUGUUCGGAUUUACUGGGCGUAAAGGGUGCGUAGGCGGUUCCGUAUGUCGGGUGUGAAAUCUCGCAGCUUAACUGCGGAAUGGCAUUCGAAACUACGGGGCUAGAGUACCGGAGAGGAGAGCGGAAUUCUCGGUGUAGCGGUGAAAUGCGUAGAUAUCGAGAGGAACACCGGUGGCGAAGGCGGCUCUCUGGACGGAUACUAACGCUGAGGCACGAAAGCUGGGGGAGCAAACAGGAUUAGAUACCCCGGUAGUCCUAGCCCUAAACGAU
rnacentral:rRNA from 1 species